UACGUAGGGGGCAAGCGUUGUCCGGAAUCAUUGGGCGUAAAGAGCGCGUAGGCGGUCCGGUAAGUCCGCUCUGAAAGUCCGGGGCUCAACCCCGGGAGGCGGGCGGAUACUGUCGGGCUAGAGUCCGGAAGAGGCGAGUGGAAUUCCUGGUGUAGCGGUGAAAUGCGCAGAUAUCAGGAGGAACACCGGUGGCGAAGGCGGCACUCUGGGCCGGUACUGACGCUGAGGAGCGAAAGCGUGGGGAGCGAACAGG
rnacentral:rRNA from 1 species